GCACAUUUAACGGUUAACGGUUGUUUUGCACAAUUUCUCUCUACAGCUACACUAUUCAGCCAUGGCAAUUCAAGCAAUUCAAGCUAAAACCUCUCCUUUUCUUCACUCCCACCAUUUCCAAUUCCCUCUUACUGUUCCUCUUUCAUCCCUUCUUCGCGCGCCUCUCAAAUCAGCGGCUCCCAACUUCCCUAGAAAAUCACUCAGGCUCACUUGCAGUUCCAACGGUGAAGAUGAUUAUUUGAUAGAUGCUCCGGUUUCUGCUGGAGAUGGCUUCUCUUUCAGUGGAGGGAAAUAUUCAGAUGAGCCUAGCCCGGCUGAUGAAUGGUUUAAGCAAGGAAAGAUGGUGAAAGCUCAUCCUGUUCUUGGUUCUGGUGGGAAGGCAAAAGAUCCCAUAUUUGGACUUAAAAUGGGCGCUAGUUCUCAGGCCUCAGAUGAUGUUUUCAGAUGGUUCUGUGUUGAGAGCGGAAAUGCCAAUAACCCCACAGUUAUACUAAUUCAUGGUUUCCCUUCACAGGCAUACUCUUACCGCAAAGUUCUUCCCAUACUAUCCAAAAACUAUCAUGCAAUUGCUUUUGAUUGGCUAGGUAAGCUUGUAGUUACAUUCUGUCAUAAAUCAGUUGUUUUUAAUUCAUCAUAAGUUUCUGUUUCUAGUGCUAAAGUUUGGAAAAAAAUGGAUGAAUUUUUUCCAUCACUUGAUAAUCAAUGACACAAGUGUAAUCAUGACAAAUAUAUGAAUAUGAAUCCAUAAGGGUACAUCACAGUGGUUAAAACUUGGGCUUCCAACUUACAGGGAUAGAGAGGUGUGGUUAAUGAAAUAAAGGAGCCAAGGAGAUCCUCUUUUAUUUUUCAAGGUCAAAUAAGCCUCUUGAUGAAUGACAAUGGUGGAACUUGAAAGAGACAAUAGACUUGAACUUUAAAGUAACUGUACAAUAUGUAUAAAAGUUUUCCUUUUGUCAGAGGUAUUUGGGCAACAAAAGAGUGACUAGAUGUACAAUCUUAAACUUAGUUGAAUUUAUUUAUAAUCUCUUAUGUGAAGAAGCAAGUAGCCAAGUAACUAUGGUUGAAAGUUUGUUUUAGUUAGGUGUUUGGUUAGAGCUACAUGUUACAAUUUUAAGCAGCUCUAGGCAAUUAUCUAUUUUCAAAGCAGAUCACAGUUUGGCAGCUUUCCAAUCCAUAUGUUCUAUGUAAUUUUUCCUUCUUCAGAUUUUAGAUUUUAUCCUCUCAGCAUAAUUUUUAUUGGUUAUAAGCUAACAAGUAAACCUUUUCUGCCUCUUUUUCUCAUUCUUUACAGGCUUUGGUUUUUCAGAUAAGCCUCAACCUGGAUAUGGAUUUGACUAUACUCUAGAUGGUAAUUGCUUUAUUAGCCUUAAUGGUGGCAUGAAACAAUUAAUGAUCGGGUCCUAUGUUACAAUUUCUUACAGAUGUCAUUAGAAAACAGAUUAUUGUAAUUUUUUUGUGAUGGUUUGUAGAAUAUGUAUCAUCCUUAGGGUCCUUUGUUAAUGAAGUUGCCAAGGAUAAGGUCUCACUUGUUGUGCAGGUAUUUUGCCUACUUUCUAUGUACGAAGCAUUAAUGCACCAAUAACUUCCAUUUACUAUUUGCAUUUAAUUGAAGAACUCCUAAUCCUUGAUCUACUUCUCAGGGCUACUUCUCACCAGUUGUAGUUAAAUAUGCUAGCAGUUUUCAGGACAAGCUUAAUGAUAUGAUACUCCUCAAUCCUCCUGUAUGGAUUUCUUCAACCUUCAUUAGCUAUUGACUUGCUUUUCACUGCCACAGGUUCUAUCAUUUUCAUCAUAUAGCAUUUUGCAAAGUCAACUUAUUGUUUGUCCAAAUGGUCAAAUUUUAAAUUUAUAUUUGAAGUUUUAAAUAGUGGCAAUCUCCCUCGAGGAUUAAAGUAGCACUGACUUUUUUUGGCUUCUGCUUCAAUAGUUGGGCUGUACAACUGGGCAAUUGUCCCUGUGCCAUCACAAUAGCUCCAUCAAAAUUUCUUUUUGGUAGGAGUGUGAUUUUGAUACCAUGGAUUGACCUCAAUUUUCUGCGUUAACAAAACUCUCAUUUUGUCUUUUUUGAAAGCGUGAAAUUGGCACAUUUAUUUUCUUUCCUUUAAAAAAGAGGAAUUUAUAAGCAUGUUACAUGGUACUGCAUGCACAUCAUAACAAUAUAAUGAUGAAAUAAAUGCUGUUUUCUUGGAUGAUAAUAGCUGACACUUACUCUUUUUAAUAGCUGACACUUACUCUUUUUCUUGCUUUACUUAAGCUAACAGCCAAACAUGCCAACCUUCCAUCGACCUUGUCUCUAUUCAGCAACUUUUUGCUGGGUGAAAUUUUUUCCCAGGAUCCUCUAAGGGCCAGUGAUAAAGCCUUGACGAGCUGUGGUCCCUAUCAAAUGAAGGAAGAUGAUGCAAUGGUAUACAGAAGACCAUAUCUUACAUCUGGUUCUGCAGGGUUUGCACUGAAUGCAAUUAGUAGGGCCAUGAAGAAGGGCCUAAAGGUGAAUUCAAUUUAUUUUCCUUUCUUAUUCCUUUCCUAUUUAUAAAUUAGUUUUAUAGAAAAAAAAAUAGAGUUACUGCACUCUGUCUAUUCUGGGUUUCUAUUAUCAAGUCUCAACUAAGCAAAGGCUUAACUAGUCCAACUAAAAUGGGAUCAGCUGUUUGCACUUUCUGUAAUUAUUUAGGUAUAAGAUCAUUCCAGGGCUUUGUUGUUUUUUAUAUUGACAUAUCCCACAUGGUGUUUCUUACACCAUUUCAUGGAUAAAAAUGCAUUUACUGGGGCAAUGUUCUUUAAGAAAAAUCAAUUUUAUUGACCUCAAUAUUGAAUCUACAAAUUCUAGGGUACCAUAACAUUUAAAUUACUUUAUUUCUUAGGUGGAAGAAUGUGAAAAUGAUGUCCAAAAUGUGUAUUACAUACCGAAUAAGAUUUUAGCAUAGGGAAUUUCAAUGGCAGAAAACAAGUUAGUUUGUGCUUCAGACAACAACAUUUAAUAUUUCCUGAAUAAUAGAUUCAAAAACUUGACCAUGCUAUUAUUUCCAAUUUUUCGAAUAAUCUAAAUAUAAACUCCUUGUUGCUUCAAUAGCAGACUUACCUAAUGAUUCUUGUCAUGAAAAAAGCUUUUAGGCUGCCAAUGUUUGCCCUGUUCAUUUAUGAUUCCAGUUUGUUUGCCUGAUAGACAUAUGUAGAAGAAAUGAGAGUGACACUUUUGGACAAAAGUUGGAAAAUUCAAACCACGGUGUGCUGGGGUCAGAGGGAUCGUUGGUUCGGCUUCGAUGGAGUUGAAGAAUUCUGCGAGGAUUCAAAAUGCAACCUGAUUGAACUUCCCAUGGUAGAAACUGUUCUCUAUUGUGCAUUUGCAGAGAAGCUUAAACUUUGCAACUCUUUUCCCUAAGAAGAAAGUUUUACUAAGUGGAAAAUAGUAUUUGCACAUUUGCCUUCUUUCGCACCACGCACAAAAUUUUGGGCUUUUACGGCAUGCUCGACUCUUUCUGCUGAUCUCUAUUAUUCUUUCUAAAUCACAAACUUGAUAUGCCUGCCUCGGAUGCUAUUUCAAUCCUUUUUUCCCUGCCUGUUGGCUUGCUUUCUAGUGUAUCCCUAUCUGCACAUGCAAUUCUGUGUCUGAUAAACUAGUCAGUAUUGAGCAAUAAAAUUUUUAUGAUUUCCUUUUAGCCCAUUUUCUGUGAUUAUGCUUCUUAUGCUGGGAAAAUUGCAGUAAAUUAAACUUGUUGCAUUUUUUGAAGGCAGGGCAUCAUGUACAGGAGGAUAGCGGUGAAGAACUUGGAGGAAUCAUUUCUGGAGUUAUUAGAAGGAACCAAAUUUGAUGAUGCCAUACAAUUAUAUAUGGUUGCUAAUGUUCGAAAAUCCAAUGUGAGGUCUUUGAUAAAAGCCAUUCUUGUAAUCGUAACCAUCUUGCUGUACAUUGUUGUGUAUGAGAAAUGCAUCAGAUGCAUUUACAUUAUGUAUUAUUUAUUUAUUUUGACAGGCUGUUUUGUGCAUACACAAACCAAACCAGCCAGGUUUGUUUAUUCAGUUAUAAACCAAAUCUAGC
rnacentral:misc_RNA from 1 species